rnacentral:rRNA from 1 species
AUUGAAUGCUGGCGGCAGGCUUAACACAUGCAAGUCGAGCGGGGUGAUGGUGCUUGCACUAUCACUUAGCGGCGGACGGGUGAGUAAUGCUUAGGAAUCUGCCUAUUAGUGGGGGACAACAUCUCGAAAGGGAUGCUAAUACCGCAUACGUCCUACGGGAGAAAGCAGGGGAUCACUUGUGACCUUGCGCUAAUGGACGAGCCUAAGUCGGAUUAGCUAGUUGGUGGGGUAAAGGCCUACCAAGGCGACGAUCUGUAGCGGGUCUGAGAGGAUGAUCCGCCACACUGGGACUGAGACACGGCCCAGACUCCUACGGGAGGCAGCAGUGGGGAAUAUUGGACAAUGGGGGGAACCCUGAUCCAGCCAUGCCGCGUGUGUGAAGAAGGCCUUAUGGUUGUAAAGCACUUUAAGCGAGGAGGAGGCUCUUUUGGUUAAUACCCAAGAUGAGUGGACGUUACUCGCAGAAUAAGCACCGGCUAACUCUGUGCCAGCCGCCGCCGUAA